rnacentral:lncRNA from 10 species
UGAAAAUGAAGAUUUGGAAGGAGAUCAUCACAGCUAAUGUUUAACAAGCCCCUCCUGUGUGCCAAAUCAUUCACCCCUCACCACAACCGAAUGAGCUAAGGAUUCUCAUUAUAUAUAGUUUAUGGAGAGGGAAGUGCAGACAUAAAGAGGUGAAUUAUCUUACCCAGAUCACACAGCUGAUAAGUGGUGGAGGCAGAAUAGAAUCUAAACAGUGUGGCUCCGGAGCCCACAUGCAUUGAUUCGACAAGUGUUUAUUGAGCACCUGCCGCGGACAAGGCCUUGUGUGAUUAAAUAGGGUUAUAAUUAGUAAUAUAAAAAUGAGAAAUCACUAAUGCUUUUUAGACUUAACAUUUUGUUUUUUUGUAGGUUUCAGGCACAGAACUGUAUAUCCAAUAAUAGUGAAAUGGAUCCCACUAAUUAUGACAGAAAUGAUGAUACAUUUAAAUGACUUGGAUGUUUUAUAGGUUGGCACUCAUCAUGAGCCCCUGUUCUCAUUCUGCAAAUGGUGAAGCUCUCUAUUGUCCUGACCCCACAGUUCCUGUC